UUAGCAUGGGUGUAAGGGAAGCCGUCUCUACUCAGCACUGCAGAUCCAAUGCUGAGAUUUCAGGGAAAAGCAUUCCCGAAGGGAGGGAGGGAGGCUUGCGUCUUGGAAAUCCAGCAGCAGCUGCCGCAGCUCAGAGGGUCUUUAGAGACUGGGUCUCAUUGGUGAAGUGCUUUUUCUUUUUUAAAAAAAUGAUGCCUCCACCUUUCAGUAUUUUAAUAGAAGCUUUUAUUUUAAGCUUUUCAUCUCUGGGUCUCUGCAGCUGGAGUUACUAAAGUGGCUGCUUCUGAUCGCUCUUGCAGUCACUAGAAGGAAAUGGGAAUGACACUGACGUCCUAGGGCUGCCCUUGACAAAGGACCACAAACCGGGAGGCUUAGGACAGCAGAAACUUCUUGGCUGGGAGGCUGGAAGUCCAAAAUCAAGGUGUCAGCAGGGCCACACUCCCUCUGAAUGCUGUGGGCGGUUGGGGGGGGUCCUUCCUUCGUGCUCCCUGGCUUGCAGCUGCAUCACUCUAAUCUCUCCCUCUGUCACCCUGUGGCCUUCUCUGUAUCUGUGUCCCCAUCUGUGUCCAGAUUUCCCUCUUCUUACAAAGACACCAGUCAUUGGAUCAACACCCAUCUUAAUCCAGUGCGACCUCAGCUUAACUUGACCACAUCUGCAAAGAUUCUAUUUCCAAUCAAAUCCACAGUUACAGAUACUGUGGGUUAGAACUUUGAAGUUCUAAUCAAGGUCACAGUUACAGAUACCAUGGGUUAGGAUGUCAAAGACGCUACGUCCAAUCAAGGUCACAGUUACAGAUACCAUGGGUUAGGAUGUCGAAGACACUCUGUCCAAUCAAGGUCACAGUUACAGAUACUGUGGGUUAGGAUGUCGAAGACACUGUGUCCAAUCAAGGUCAUGGUUACAGAUACUGUGGGUUAGAACUUUGAAGUUCUAAUCAAGGUCACAGUUACAGAUACCAUGGGUUAGGAUGUUGAAGACACUGUGUCCAAUCAAGGUCACAGUUACAGAUACUGUGGGUUAGAACUUUGAAGUUCUAAUCAAGGUCACAAUUACAGAUACCAUGGGUUAGGAUGGCGAAGACGCUAUGUCCAAUCAAGGUCGCAGUUACAGAUACUGUGGGUUAGGACUUUAACAUAUCUUUUGGGGAUAGAUUCAACCUAUAACAGGAACCAACCAAUGUGGAUUUGGCCCAAGGUUCUGGGGCUUGGGGACCAAGUGUGGUUGUGGUUAAGGGGCUAGGUUUAGUAUGUGUGUAUAAAUACACACAUAUGCAUAGAUUCACAUAUAUAUAGUGUCUAGAAAUGUGUCUUACACAUUCAAUGAGCAAUGAUUCUUGUUAUUUGUACUUCCCUCUGAAUAUCAGUUUCCUUAGUAUAUGUGUAUAUGCAUAUAUAUGCACAUAUGUACACACACUAUAUAUACACACACAUACACAAAAACACAUGUUUACAGAUAUGUAUAGUGUGCUUAGCAAUGUGUCUUUUACAUUCAAUAAGUAACUAUUGUUAUUAUCUGUACAAUGGGGGCAGUUGCAUUUUAUCUCUAAGUCAUCCUGCAGUUGUAUUUUAUCUCUCAGAUUCCCUUCAGCUCUGAAAUUCUGGGACUCUGACUAAAAAGACAGAUGGAGACACAGGGCUGUGUGGUCCAAGAAUCCCUGUUACUUGUGGAAACAGAAUAAUAAAGUGUCCCUUUUUGAGAAGAGAAAAUAAGAACACAGAAAUGGAAAUUUUUCUCUCACAAGAAAAGGAUCAGAUGUUAAGGGAAAUCUAUGAAGCAAGCGCUUUGGGCCUAAAACUCUUCAUUCUUUUGGGAUCUGUAGAGUAAAGCCCUUCUGUGGGCUGGGGAAGCUGAAUUUAUGAACUAGCACACGGGAACUUGGCUUUGGCUGGCUCAUGAAUAGAGCAGAGAGGAAGGUCUCUUGUGAGUGUGAAUUUGGCCAUACUCUGUCUUCAACGACAGGCAACAGACAUCUCCAUUUUUGUUUUCCUGCCAGGAAUCAAAGAGUUAAUGCAUGCGCCAUUCUUAGAAUGACACCUGGCCUACAGUAAGUGCUCAGUAAGUAUCAGCCUAUCCAAUGAAAACGGACAAGGACUUUCCUGCUUUCUGGUUGCCUUUCUGCAGUUUGCUCGUCUAAAUCGUAGAGUUGCUUGUUAGUGUGGUCAUCAAAAUUUGUGAAGCCUGUUUUAGGUACUUGUGAGAAGUCACAAAACAUAGCCACUAUAGGAGGUGGCCAAGUCUAUAAAUUGUACACAGUGUUACUCACAUCAGAUGUAGGGGAAUUUAUAAUCAACUCACAGGAAUUCUAUUUUUUCUUUUCUUUUUUUCCCCCCAGAGUUAAAUUCUUGGUUCUUCAACACUAUCAAGACCUCACUGUGGCUUCUGGAGUUUGAACUGGCUGUAUUCCUAAUGGAGUUGUUCAUAACACACUAAUUUAAAAUAUUAGUGCAGCUGAGAGUUUCUAACCCCCAAAAUACUGUGUAAGGCUCUGCUCCUUCCGUGUAACUUCAUGCUUUCCUUAUGCAAUGACUGUGAACAUUGUUUGUAUAUCAGAAUCCCUAGAGAGCCUUGAAGUAGUAUUCUUUUUUUUUUUUUUUUGAGGCAGGGUCUCGCUGUGCCACCCAAGCUAGGGUACAGUGACAUAAUCACAGCUCACUGCAGCCUUGACCUCUUGGGCUCAAGCAAUCCUCCCACCUCAGCCUCCUGAGCAGCUGGGAUAAUAGGUGUACACC
rnacentral:lncRNA from 1 species